rnacentral:rRNA from 1 species
GAUGAACGCUGGCGGCGUGCCUAAUACAUGCAAGUCGAGCGAACAGACGAGGAGCUUGCUCCUCUGAUGUUAGCGGCGGACGGGUGAGUAACACGUGGAUAACCGACCUAUAAGACUGGGAUAACUUCGGGAAACCGGAGCUAAUACCGGAUAACAUGUUGAACCGCAUGGUUCAACAGUGAAAGACGUUCUUGCUGUCACUUAUAGAUGGAUCCUCGCCGCAUUAGCUAGUUGGUAAGGUAACGGCUUACCAAGGCAACGAUGCGUAGCCGACCUGAGAGGGUGAUCGGCCACACUGGAACUGAGACACGGUCCAGACUCCUACGGGAGGCAGCAGUAGGGAAUCUUCCGCAAUGGGCGAAAGCCUGACGGAGCAACGCCGCGUGAGUGAAGAAGGUCUUCGGAUCGUAAAGCUCUGUUAUUAGGGAAGAACAAAUGUGUAAGUAACUAUGCACGUCUUGACGGUACCUAAUCAGAAAGCCACGGCUAACUACGUG